UUUCGCUGUGUUGGCCGGGCUGGUCUCCAGCUCCUAGCCGCGAGUGAUCCGCCAGCCUCGGCCUCCCGGGGUGCGGGGAUUGCAGACGGAGUCUGGUUCACUCAGUGCUCAAUGGUGCCCAGGCUGGAGUGCAGUGGCGUGAUCUCGGCUGGCUACAACCUCCACCUCCCAGCCGCCUGCCUUGGCCUCCCUAAGUGCCGAGAUUGCAGCCUCUGCCCGGCCGCCACCCCGUCUGGGAAGUGAGGAGCGUCUCUGCCUGGCCGCCCAUCGCCUGGGACGUGAGGAGCCCCUCUGCCUGGCUGCCCAGUCUGGAAAGUGAGGAGCGUCUCUGCCCGGCCGCCAUCCCAUCUAGGAAGUGACGAGCGCCUCUUCCCGGUCGCCAUCCCAUCUAGGAAGUGAGGAGCGUCUCUGCCCGGCCGCCCAUCGUCUGAGAUGUGGGGAGAGCCUCUGCCCCGCCGCCCCGCCUGGGAUGUGAGGAGCGCCUCUACCCGGCCGCGACCCCGUCUGGGAGGGUGGCUGUCAAUAGAUUGGCCCAAAAGGAAGAACAAGGAAAAGGGCACCAAAGAAGAUAAAUGAAAAUACAAGGGUAUAAGCUGAACUGUGGACAUCCUGCCACUGGGAAUUAAGUUAAAGUAGAAAAAAGCAGAAUGUAAUGGGGAGUCCCCUCACAAGAAGAAUUUGGAUCAAAGCAUGGCAGUGAGGGGAA
rnacentral:lncRNA from 10 species